UUGACGGGACCGCACAAGCGGUGGAUGAUGUGGUUUAAUUCGAUGCAACGACGAAAACCUUACCACCUUUGACAUGUACGGAAUCCUUUAGAGAUAGAGGAGUGCUCGAAAGAGAACCGUAACACAGGUGCUGCAUGGCUGUCGUCAGCUCGUGUCGUGAGAUGUUGGGUUAAGUCCCGCAACGAGCGCAACCCUUGUCAUUAGUUGCUACAUUCAGUUGGGCACUCUAAUGAGACUGCCGGUGACAAACCGGAGGAAGGUGGGGAUGACGUCAAGUCCUCAUGGCCCUUAUAGGUGGGGCUACACACGUCAUACAAUGGAUGGUACAAAGGGUCGCCAACCCGCGAGGGGGAGCCAAUCCCAUAAAGCCAUUCGUAGUCCGGAUCGCAGUCUGCAACUCGACUGCGUGAAGUCGGAAUCGCUAGUAAUCGUGGAUCAGAAUGUCACGGUGAAUACGUUCCCGGGUCUU
rnacentral:rRNA from 1 species